CAGAACAGGCAAGCAAACUCACUUUUGGGAGGGGCUGCAAAAGUGUGUGGGGGGGGGGGGGGGUCGGAAGGACAUGCCAGGCUGAAACAAGCACAAACCAAUAUAAACAUACACACACACACAUACAGAGCGCAACAGUGAAAACGCUUCGCAAGAUUAAUGAACGUACAAAAGUUUAGAGACAAUGACGACGCCGGCGACAACAGACAAGAACAACGACAACAACACCAGUAGCAACACCAACAACAACAGCAGCAACAAGAAGUCCAACGAAAGCCGGCAACAACAACGUGACAUGGCCAGGACAACAACAAUGGCAGCCGGAAAAGCGUCGGGAAAAAUGAGGGAGGAAAAUAUAUGGCAUACACUUAGGCGCGCCAAGUCGCUUACUGACUUUUUGCCUAUCUCGCCCGCCCGAUUUCCCCCAUUUUCCGCCUUUCCCCCCCAUCCACCCCUCGGUGCACCACACUGGAGCGAUACAGUGUGUGCAUUGGCCUAGGUCAGCGGAUCGGAAUGUGAAUGUUUGGGGUCGUGCUCCAGUGAUUGUCCAGCAGACAGCAGAUGAAGGACACUCGAACAUUCCCCGGACCGUACUUAAGUGGGUUUCGUUGGGUGACAAGAGGCCACUCUUUCGAAUGCUAAUGAAAUCAGCGCUAAAUGCAUAACUAAAUUGGCUUCAACCAAAUGUGUUAGAAUGGAUAAACAUUCUUGGUUCCUUCAAGUUCAAAAAUAAAAACCAAUCAUCACGCUUUUG
ensembl:ncRNA lncRNA:CR40341 long non-coding RNA:CR40341